GGUACAUCACAGGAGCCCGAACUCUCACCCAUCCAGCUGUUGACCUUAAUGUACACAUACUGAAUAGUGUCACCAUAAGAAGAGUGAUUAUCUCCUGGCCUGAUUCACACACACACACACACACACACACACACACACACACACGAGAGGCCCAUUCAGUGUCUUAAUGAUUUAAUAUAAUUAACAUUAGUCAUUUCUGGUGUGAAGUAUGUUCCAGUAUUGUUGUGCUUAAGAACAGCGUACCUACGGUAUAUUACCCAUAUACUACCUAUAACUACUAUAACUUUCAGGCCAUCAGCAUUCAGGAUCCAAACUACCAGGUUCAUCACAUAUGUUAGAAAAAGGGUGUGUCCUGCUGUGUGUUUGAUAGUGGUAGCCUCCCAAGCAGACCAUAAACCUCAGUGGAAAACUGGAAAGUUUAGUUAAUUUCUGUAAGGGAAAUCUAGGUGGGGGCAUGGCUGUGUUAGAUUAAUUAUAAUGUAGUCUACACCCAUAGGUCAAUGAACAGGUCAAAACAGAAUCAGUUUUUCCCCCUUUGUAUUUUCUAGAGUGAUUUCUGAUGUUAUUAUGUGAUGGAACUGUCAACAAAUAACUCGCUAACGUGCUGCUGCUAGAAACAGGCCCUAAUGUAAUCGGCUAGCUGAACGUGUUGUAACGCUUACCUUGUCAACUAGUUUGGGUUUCUGCUGGAUAUACAGUGUGAAGGAGUAUAUGGUUAGUUGAAUACCAACAGACAUUGCGGAAAAGCACUCUCAAGUGUCCUCAAGGUUCAGCUGGAAAUUCCUUGGCUCUGUUCCUGGCUGUGUUUGCCAACUGUUCCCUCUUAAGCUCCUCUGGUUUAAAAUGGGAAUUGUCAAACACAGCUACUUCUCUCCUCAGACAGCUGUCACUCGCUAAAUGAGCUGUCUGCACCCCGCACUUCUCCGUUAGAGCAAUGGGCUACUGUAGCAACACUGGGCUAAACCUUUAGGGGCGACCGAAUCAAUGAAACGGGACAUGAAAGUACAUCAACGAAACGAGACAUAAAAACAUUUUAUUUCACUUCGCUGCCAACUUAUUUCAGAAGUUAUCCCUGCCUGUUCGAUUGGGUAUUCGGCAGGUCUUUUUCAUACACUGAUAAUGAAAUGUUCAUUUCUCCUCUGUUUGCUUUUUUUGAAUACUAAAAUAUAUAUAAAUGGUUAAGGUUAUUCCACUGCCCUUUCUACUGGUCUGUUGAACACAAAAAAUAUUGUAAACUGACAUGCUGAAGGAGUGGGUGGGAAGCAGAGACAGCCGACCCUGGACACCACAGCAGGAUGCCGACGAGUCGGAGUAACUUAGCAACAUCAUUGAUGAACCACCAAAGGCACACUUGUCUGUUUUCAAAUUCAGAAAGACACGGAGUUCAACGGUUUUCCCCCAAGUCGUUCCUUAAUAUUCAUAAAGCGUCUCCGAGUCAAAGCGCUGAUCAAGGAUAAUGUCCUGCCGUCUAUGUAAUAUUCAUUAUGAUCCAUGUCAAAAUCUCCCACUCAGAGACACUUGGGAUAUGACUCCAGAGGCUUCCAGUUUAGCCUUUAAACAGACAGAUGCCCAGAGCCUCUCCAUUCCUGGGGUUGCAAGUGAACCGGGCUCCAUCGUAACUAUUCGGUCAGGUCACACAUCUCCUUCGUUCAGCACAGUAGGUGUGUCUGUCUGUUCCCGUCAGCCUGAAGCUCUCGCAGAUCAAUGUCCCAUCAGUUCUCUGCUGCUCACCCAGCUGUCAAGGUCUCCCUCUACACACACACUCAGACGCUGUGGGGGUCGGGUAUUUGGCUGCGCAACCUGGCGUGAGCUCACAGGCUCCAAACUGUUUCGCUGUGGGGGCGGUGUCGGCGUGGCAACGCAGUAGCCUGACCGCAAAAUUACAUUUACAUUGGUAAAACCAAGGACGUGGAACUAGCUUCCUUGGCUGGACUUGGUAGAGUUCAAGACAUACGCUCAAAACCGCUGAAGCAGCUUCAUCUGGUGGUGGACACAUACUGCCAGGACCAUGAACCACUGCAGCCUCCUGACCAUCCACCAUGUGUCCGACCUACUGUUUAUCUCCACGUUGGGUCCUCCCUGUCACAAAUGGGACCCAACACCCCACGUGAAGAUAUGGUUUUGGUUAAAAGAAAAAUUUAACUGUGUACUGACAAAAUAGGUGGUGGAAUUUGGUGACUUCCAAUUUGAAUUGGGUUAGCUAAUAUCUAGGCAGUUGUCUUGCUAACUUGAACAUACACUUUGUUAAAUUUUGUUUGUUUUUAGUAUGCCUUCAGGGACUGUGUCAUUCAUGUUCUCUAACAUUGGCAUCAAUAGUUUGCACUUGUUGCAAAAAAAGCAUUCCAUUUCAGUUGGCAUUAGAUUGCAUGAUCCACAACUACACCACCAUUCUCCAGAUAUUCUGGCCUAGGGUUGGGGAUUAACUUGUUCACCAUCACCCCCCUCAGCUGCUGUCCAAGCCUCUAGUUCGGUCAAUUCAUCCUCUGUGUAUUCUGGUUCGAACAAGCAAGGCUCUAUCCCCCCAAAAGUGUUCUUCCUGGUCGUAUUCAGUCAGACAUACAUAUCAAGCAAAUAAAGUAUCACUGUUGGGGGUGAAUAUCUACGACACAAUGGGUAACUUGCUUUCUAGGUAACGAAUGCUAACUUGUUUACUGUGACCAAUUGUGAAGUGUACACUUGCGCUUGCCAAAAGAUCAAUAAAAGAUGGGUACUUUGUGUUUACAGUCA